UGCAAGUCGAACGAUGAAGCCCUUCGGGGUGGAUUAGUGGCGAACGGGUGAGUAACACGUGGGCAAUCUGCCCUUCACUCUGGGACAAGCCCUGGAAACGGGGUCUAAUACCGGAUACGACUGCGGAAGGCAUCUUCUGUGGCGGAAAGCUCCGGCGGUGAAGGAUGAGCCCGCGGUCUAUCAUCUUGUUGGUGGGGUAAUGGCCUACCAAGGCGACGACGGGUAGCCGGCCUGAGAGGGCGACCGGCCACACUGGGACUGAGACACGGCCCAGACUCCUACGGGAGGCAGCAGUGGGGAAUAUUGCACAAUGGGCGAAAGCCUGAUGCAGCGACGCCGCGUGAGGGAUGACGGCCUUCGGGUUGUAAACCUCUUUCAGCAGGGAAGAAGCGAAAGUGACGGUACCUGCAGAAGAAGCGCCGGCUAACUACGUGCCAGCAGCCGCGGUAAUACGUAGGGCGCAAGCGUUGUCCGGAAUUAUUGGGCGUAAAGAGCUCGUAGGCGGCUUGUCACGUCGGAUGUGAAAGCCCGAGGCUUAACCUCGGGUCUGCAUUCAAUACGGGCUAGCUAGAGUGUGGUAGGGGA
rnacentral:rRNA from 1 species